ACUCCUACGGGAGGCAGCAGUGGGGAGCUUUGCGCAAUGGGCGAAAGCCUGACGCAGCAACGCCGCGUGAGUGAUGAAGGCUUUCGGGUCGUAAAGCUCUGUCGAGGGGAAAGAAGUGUAUUGUGGUUAAUACCCGCGAUACUUGACGGUACCCCUAAAGGAAGCACCGGCUAACUCCGUGCCAGCAGCCGCGGUAAUACGGGGGGUGCAAGCGUUGUUCGGAAUUAUUGGGCGUAAAGAGCGUGUAGGCGGUUUGUUAAGUCUGAUGUGAAAGCCCUGGGCUCAACCCAGGAAGUGCAUUGGAAACUGUCAGACUUGAAUACGGGAGAGGGCAGUGGAAUUCCUAGUGUARGAGUGAAAUCCGUAGAUAUUAGGAGGAACACCGGUGGCGAAGGCGGCUGCCUGGACCGAUAUUGACGCUGAGACACGAAAGCGUGGGUAGCAAACAGGAUUAGAUACCCUGGUAGUCCACGCCGUGAACGAUGAGAACUAKGUGUUGCGGGUAUUGACCCCUGCAGUGCCGCAKCUAACGCAUUAAGUUCUCCGCCUGGGAAGUACGGUCGCAAGACUAARACUCAAAUGAAUUGACGG
rnacentral:rRNA from 1 species